UACGUAGGGUGCAAGCGUUGUCCGGAAUUAUUGGGCGUAAAGAGCUCGUAGGCGGUCUGUCGCGUCUGCUGUGAAAACUCGGGGCUUAACCCCGGGCCUGCAGUGGGUACGGGCAGACUAGAGUGCGGUAGGGGAGACUGGAAUUCCUGGUGUAGCGGUGAAAUGCGCAGAUAUCAGGAGGAACACCGGUGGCGAAGGCGGUGUUCUGGGCCGGAACUGACGCUGAGGAGCGAAAGCGUGGGUAGCAAACAGG
rnacentral:rRNA from 1 species